rnacentral:rRNA from 1 species
UACGAAGGGUGCAAGCGUUAAUCGGAAUUACUGGGCGUAAAGGGUGCGUAGGCGGUUGUUUAAGUCUGCUGUGAAAUCCCCGGGCUCAAUCUGGGAAUGGCGAUGGAUACUGGCGAGCUAGAGUGUGUCAGAGGAUGGUGGAAUUCCCGGUGUAGCGGUGAAAUGCGUAGAGAUCGGGAGGAACAUCAGUGGCGAAGGCGGCCAUCUGGGACAACACUGACGCUGAAGCACGAAAGCGUGGGGAGCAAACAGG